UACGAAGGGUGCAAGCGUUACUCGGAAUCACUGGGCGUAAAGCGUGCGUAGGCGGUUCGUUAAGUCUGUUGUGAAAGCCCUGGGCUCAACCUGGGAACUGCAGUGGAUACUGGCGAGCUAGAGUACGGUAGAGGAAGGUGGAAUUCCCGGUGUAGCGGUGAAAUGCGUAGAGAUCGGGAGGAACACCAGUGGCGAAGGCAGCUCGCUGGGACGUUACUGACGCUGAGACGCGAAAGCGUGGGGAGCAAACAGG
rnacentral:rRNA from 1 species